CCUACGGGAGGCAGCAGUGGGGAAUAUUGGGCAAUGGAGGAAACUCUGACCCAGCGACGCCGCGUGCGGGAUGAAGGCCUUCGGGUUGUAAACCGCUUUCAGCAGGGAAGAAGCGAAAGUGACGGUACCUGCAGAAGAAGCACCGGCUAACUAUGUGCCAGCAGCCGCGGUAAUACAUAGGGUGCAAGCGUUGUCCGGAAUUAUUGGGCGUAAAGAGCUCGUAGGUGGUUCGUCACGUCGGAUGUGAAAAUCUGGGGCUUAACCCCAGACCUGCAUUCGAUACGGGCGAGCUUGAGUAUGGUAGGGGAGUCUGGAAUUCCUGGUGUAGCGGUGGAAUGCGCAGAUAUCAGGAGGAACACCAAUGGCGAAGGCAGGACUCUGGGCCAUUACUGACACUGAGGAGCGAAAGCGUGGGGAGCGAACAGGAUUAGAUACCCUGGUAGUCCACGCCGUAAACGGUGGGCACUAGUUGUGGGGACCUUCCACGGUCUCCGCGACGCNGCUACGACAUAGUGCCCGCCGUCGGGAGGUACGAGCGCAGAUAAACUACAAAGAAGUAGACGCGUGAGACGUGCCGACGGACGACGACGAGGGAGAGG
rnacentral:rRNA from 1 species